AUGCAUGUAGUCAGGAAAUAAGUAAAAGUGAGCAAGCUGAUUUGAGUCAAACUUCAGAUUCUUCUAUUUGUAUUUCCAUAAAGCUGGAAGCCUUGGACGGAUUGCUCAGUUAUUUAGGUAUGAAAAUAUUUUUUGGUAAUUUGCAUUUCAAGGACAUUUUUUUAAUUAAAAAAAAAAUAGAACAAUAUAACUCAGAAUAGGUUAGUUGAUAUAAACUAGUUCUUCUUUAACCCCAUGCAACAAAGUUGCAGAUAAUAUAAGGUGUUUGAGCCGUACGCAUGUCUGUCCAUCAGUCCUGUUCUUGUCACCGCAACUCUUCUGAAACAACACUACAGAAUGUUAUGAAACUCUUUAGUUAAUCAGGACAUAGUAUGUAGAUGGGCAUAUUGACAGGAAAUUAUGAUUCAUACUUUUCUAGGAGUUUUGCCCCUUUAACCUUAUUUGUCUCAAUAUACAUUUACUACUGCAAGUUUGUCGUCGCAACUCCUCUGAAAUCAAACAGAGUUUCAUGCAACUUUUUAGAUAAUAAGGACAUACUAUGUAAAUGUACAUAUCAACAGGAAAUUAUAAUUCACACUUUUUUCUAGGAGUUAUGCCCCUUUGAACUCAUUUGCCUUUAUAAACUACUGCCACAGUUUGUCAUCGCAUCUCCUCUGACACCACAGCACAGAAUUUAAUGAAACUAAAUGAUAAUAAGGACAUUUUUUGUAGAUAUGCCAGGAACUACAAUUAAUAUAUUGAGCUUUUUUUCUCAUCACUUGGCAUCCGUCGUCGUCCGUAGUCGUUAACUUUUUCAAAAAUUUCUUCCCAGAAACUGCUUGGCCAAAUUUAACCAAACAUGGCCACAAUAGUCACUAGGGCAUAUAGUUUUAAAAAUGUGUCCGGUGACCCAGCCAACCAACAAAGAUGGCCGCAAUGGCUAAAAACAGAACUUAUGAGUAAAAUGUAGAUUUUGGCUUAAAACUCUAAAACCAAAGCAUUUAGAGCAAAUCUGACAUGGUUAAAAUUGUUUCUCCAGUCAAUAUUUAUCUACUCCUAAAUUUUCAGACGAAACAGACACAACGUUGUUGGGUUGCUGCUCCCGAAUUAGUAAUUUUAAGGAAAUUUUUCAGUUUUUGGUUAUUAUCUUGAAUAUAAUAAUAGAUAGCGAUAAACUGUAAACAGCAAUAAUGUUCAGCAGAGUUAGAUCUACAAAUAAAUGGACAUGACCAAAAUGGUCAGUUGACCCCUGAAGGAGUUAUUGUCUUUUAUAUUCAUUUUUUACCAUUUUUCGUAAAUUUUGGUAAUCUUUUACAAAAAUCUUCUCUUCUAAAACUACUUGGCCAAAUUUAACCAAAAUACUAUUAUAGAUGAUAAAGAUAAACUGUAAACAACAAUUAUGUUCAGCAAAGUAAGAUCUACAAAUAAGUCAAACAUAACCAAAGUGGUCAGUUGACCCCUUAAUGUAUUAUUGCCCUUAAUAAUUAAUUUUUGGGGAAAGACGGCUUCAAGCCGUCAAAUCCCUAAUUUGGUUGACAAGCGUUCCAUACCCUCAAGUCAAUCAUUUUGUAUUAAUAGUUUGUAAACCUCCUCAAAAUGUCAUACUGAAAUUGAUGACAAGAAGGAUACUUUUUUUUACACAUUUCUCUUCUGUUUCUUUUGUGUGACAGCUUUAUCAUUUUUUUUUAUUUCAGAGAAUGGAAAUCGAGAAAACUGUACUACAUGUACUAAGGAAGCAAGAAUUACCAUUUCAAAUGUCCCGAAGACAGCUGCACACAAGAGAAUUCUCAACAAAAGCAGCAGUGAAGAGCAUGUCCUCAUACAACAUAGUCAAUUCUUUGUUAAAUGAUGUAAAAAUGAAAAUAUCAGAAACAGCAAAAAGAUUGUAUGCAGAUAAGAUAAUUUCAAAUCAGC
rnacentral:lncRNA from 1 species